rnacentral:rRNA from 1 species
AUGGGUUCUCGAUGGAUCCGACCCGAGGUGUACCCACUGUUCGCGACGACCGGCGUGGCUGUCGGUAUUUGUGUGAUGCAACUUGUGCGCAAUAUCACCACCAACCCUGAAGUCAGGGUGACAAAGCAGAACAGGGCAGCUGGGUUGCUAGAGAAUCAUGAUGAAGGAAAGAGGUAUUCCCAACACGGGGUGCGCAGGUUCUGGCUCUCCAAGCGUCAUGACUACAUGCAUGAACUGGACAAUGUGCCCACCGAUCGGAAGUAG